AAAACUUGAGAGAUUAGUGAACCUUAUUUUUAAAAAAUGAAUUUACAGCAAGUAUUCCAUCUACUUCAGACAGAUAAUCAACUCAAUGAUCUCGAGCAAAAAAACUGGAGGUUUACACUCAUCGAAAAGCCUAAAUCAAUGGUUACAUUAGCCUUGCAGCCUCAUUUUAUUCCCAUUGUUCAGCCACUUUCCCUGAUAAAGAUGCUUAUAUCAAAGCAAUAAGAUCAGGCCAUGGCACGUAAAAUCCCAUUUAUCAUACAUCCAAGUACAUCCCAUUUGUAGAGGAAAACGUGAAGAAUUCAAAGGAUCGACCAAAAAAAAGGAAGUAUCAAUCUACAGUAACAUAGACUCGGGAUUCUCUAUGUAGCCUUUGAAUGCUUUGAGCCAUUCCGCACCAAUUGCACCAUCAAUCACCCGGUGAUCACAGCUCAACGUUACAGACAUCAUACUGGCAAACUUAUACUCGCCUUCACUGGAUCCUGGAAGCACCCUUUUCUCAGCAGAUCCAACUGCUAGGAUGGCUGAUUGUGGAGGGUUAAUGAUGGCACAGAACUGUUUAAUGCCAAAAGGCCCUCCCAAAUUGCUGACGGUGAAUGUCCCACCCUCAUAAUCCUGUGGUUUUAAGCUGUUCUCUUUUGCUUUCUGGGCCAAGUUCUUCACCUCCUCAGAAAUAGAGGAUAAACCUUUCUUAUCAGCAUCCCGGACGACAGGAACAUAAAGACCAUUGUCAGUCUGCACUGCUACAUUGAUAUUUACAUUGUGAUACUGACGAAUGUAGUCAUUGGUCCAUGAACUGUUGCACUGAGGAACUUUUCGAAGAGCCAAAGCAGCAGCCUUUAUUACAAGAUCAUUAACAGAUAACUUCUUUCCUCCUGAAGCCUCUUGCAAUGCAUUGAGCUUGCUCCUCAGUUCUAUAAGUUUGUCGACGCAUGUAUCAACAGUCAAAUAGUAAUGGGGAAUGGUUUGCUUUGACAACAGCAACCUAGAAGCUGUCACCUUUCUGAUCUGUGCAACAGGAAUAUCCGUGUAAUCUAAAGAUGUGUCAGCCUUGGGAGCUGCUGCAGGGGCUUCCUUUCCGCGUGAAGCAAGAUAAUCUUCAAUAUCAGCUUUCACGAUACGUCCCUCAGGACCUGUUCCUUUGAUGUUUGUGAGAGGUAUAUUGUUAUCUUCCGCAAUUUUCCUAGCUAGCGGACUAGCAAAAAUGCGAUCCGACGCACUAGGUUUAGAAACUUUUGGCUGUGAUGGAGUAACAGGUUUCUCGGCAACCUCUUCUUUGGGAGGAGGUGGAGAAGAAGCAGGAGCUUUUGGUGAAGGUGUGGCAUCUGAUGUUGAAGGCUGGUAAUCUUUAAAUUUCGCAAUGUCAUCUUCCUCUUCAACAGUAACAGCGAUCACCUCUCCAACUUUGAUACUGCUUGCUCCGUCUCCGUGAAUAAUCUUAGCUAGAUAUCCUUCUUCCAUGCACUCCAUCUCCACUGUUGCUUUAUCUGUUUCCACUUCACAUAGCACUUCACCAGGAGAAACUUUAUCGCCCUCUUUCUUUAACCAUCUGGCAAUAUUUCCCUCUGUCAUUGUAGGUGAAAGAGAAGGCAUCCCAAUCUCUUGGUGUGGAGGAAGAUCUGAAGCAGUGGAGAAACCCCUCCUUGAAGGCGCUUGUGAUCCCGAAGACCUUCUAAUGAAAGAGAUGCUACCGGUGGAGGUGCAUGGAGCAAUUGUAGUUCUCAGAGCAUUUCCACAUGACAUCCUGGAAGAUACUGUUCUACAACUGUUGUUGGAGACAGCUGAACCUGAGUAGCAUCGAUUGAAGGACUUAGGAAUGUUGUGUCUCUCUCCGGAUAUGAGACCAGAGUGGCACCUUAAAAUAUCAUCUCCCUUCUCCAUAGAAGGCCUCGUGCCAUUACUAAACCAACGGACGAGACCAGCAGAGUCGCAUCGUAUCAAGUUCGAAGAACUCCCGAUCUUUUUUGAGUGACGAAGAACGUGAGUAGCGUAAGUCAUGAUUUUGAUCUUUUUCUUCUCCGGUGAAAGGAAGCAACCGGAAAGCGGCGGCGGAAGGUGGCUUUUCGAGUACGAAAUUGGGCAGACA
rnacentral:misc_RNA from 1 species